ACUCCUACGGGAGGCAGCAGUGGGGAAUAUUGCACAAUGGGCGCAAGCCUGAUGCAGCCAUGCCGCGUGUAUGAAGAAGGCCUUCGGGUUGUAAAGUACUUUUCAGCAGUGAGGAAGGUGGAUAUGUUAAUAGCAUAUUCAUUUGACGUUAGCUGCAGAAGAAGCACCGGCUAACUCCGUGCCAGCAGCCGCGGUAAUACGGAGGGUGCGAGCGUUAAUCGGAAUUACUGGGCGUAAAGCGCAUGCAGGUGGUUUGUAAGUCAGAUGUGAAAGCCCGGGGCUCAACCUCGGAAUUGCAUUUGAAACUGGCAAACUAGAGUACUGUAGAGGGGGGUAGAAUUUCAGGUGUAGCGGUGAAAUGCGUAGAGAUCUAGAAGGAAUACCGGUGGCGAAGGCGGCCCCCUGGACAGAUACUGACACUCAGAUGCGAAAGCGUGGGGAGCAAACAGGAUUAGAUACCCUGGUAGGCUACUGC
rnacentral:rRNA from 1 species